rnacentral:misc_RNA from 1 species
UCUCCGUUGGUGAACCAGCGGAGGGAUCAUUACCGAGUUUACAACUCCCAAACCCCUGUGAACAUACCAUGUUUUGCCUCGGCGGUGCCUGCUUCGGCAGCCCGCCAGAGGACCCAAACCCUUGAUUUUAUACAGUAUCUUCUGAGUAAAUGUUUAAAUAAAUCAAAACUCUCAACAACGGAUCUCUUGGUUCUG